AAAGUCUUUAAUCACUCGAAGGUCUGCGUACUACGCAGAGGGUUUAUGUAGAGUUAUUUGGGGCUUU
rnacentral:ncRNA from 1 species